rnacentral:sRNA from 1 species
AUAGAUGCUGGGAAGGAUGUCUAACUGGGAGAUAGCUUGUGAUGUAAAUAUAUUAUGAAUGACCAAUGGGCAAGGCAAAAUUGCCUACAUAGCCCUACCUAUGGCCCCUCUGAAAAUGUUCUUUCUUCAGCAGAAUCAAAGCCAGAAAUUCAACUUUGUCUCUCCCGCCCUCUGAUUUUCUCCAGUCAGCAAGCUCUCAGCCAACAUGUGUGGCUGAGUCAUCUAUCUCAGCUGUUUUCAAGUUUAUGGGCAGGAAAUCCUCUCCAGCUGGGAAAACACUAUCCAGAAGAUCAGAAACAACAGCAGGAUCCAUUCUGCUUGAGUGGCAAAGCAGAAUGGAUUCAAGAGGGAGAAGACUCCAGACUCCUGUUUGGGAGAGUAAGCAAAAAUGGCACUUCAAAGGCACUUUCCAGCCCACCUGAAGAACAGCCAGCACAGUCCAAGGAAGACAACACAGUGGUGGAUAUAGGGCCCAGCCCUGAACGGAAGGCAGACCUUGAGGAAACAGACAAAGUAUUGCAUGGUUUAGAAGUCUCAGGAUUUGGAGAGAUCAAAUAUGAAGAGUUUGGGCCAGACUUUAUCAAGGAGUCAAACCUCUUUAGCUUCCAGAAGACACAAACUGGGGAGACACCUUACAUGUACACUGAGUGGGGAGACAGCUUUGGCAGUAUGUCAAUCCUCAUCAAAAACCCAAGGACACACUCUAGGGGAAAGCCUUAUGUGUGCAGAGAAUGUGGGCGAGGCUUUACGUGGAAGUCAAACCUGAUCACACAUCAGAGGACACACUCAGGGGAGAAACCUUAUGUGUGCAAGCAUUGUGGACGAGGCUUUACUUGGAAGUCAAACCUCUUUACACAUCAGGGAAUACACUCAGGGCUCAAGCCUUAUAUGUGCAAGGAAUGUGGGCAGAGCUUUAGCCUGAAGUCAAACCUCAUCACCCACCAGAGGGCGCACACUGGGGAGAAGCCUUAUGUUUGCAGGGAAUGUGGGCGUGGCUUUCGCCAGCAUUCACACCUGGUCAGACACAAGAGGACACAUUCAGGAGAGAAGCCUUACAUUUGCAGGGAGUGUGAGCAAGGCUUUAGCCAGAAGUCACACCUCAUCAGACACUUAAGGACACACACAGGAGAGAAGCCUUAUGUAUGCACAGAAUGUGGGCGUCACUUUAGCUGGAAAUCAAACCUCAAAACACACCAGAGGACACAUUCAGGGGUUAAACCUUAUGUUUGCCUGGAGUGUGGGCAGUGCUUUAGCCUGAAGUCAAACCUUAACAAACACCAGAGGUCACACACAGGGGAGAAGCCGUUUGUAUGUACGGAGUGUGGGCGAGGCUUUACCCGGAAAUCAACCCUCAUCACGCACCAGAGGACACACUCAGGGGAGAAGCCAUUUGUAUGUGCUGAGUGUGGACGAGGCUUUAAUGAUAAGUCCACCCUCAUUUCACACCAGAGGACACAUUCAGGGGAAAAGCCUUUUAUGUGCAGGGAGUGUGGCAGAAGGUUUCGGCAGAAGCCUAACCUAUUUAGGCACAAGAGGGCACACUCAGGUGCCUUUGUGUGCAGGGAGUGUGGGCAAGGUUUUUGUGCUAAGUUAACUCUCAUUAAACACCAGAGGGCACACUCAGGGGGGAAGCCUCAUGUGUGCAGGGAGUGUGGGCAAGGCUUUAGCCGGCAGUCACACCUCAUUAGACACCAGAGGACACAUUCAGGAGAGAAGCCUUAUAUUUGCAGAAAGUGUGGGCGGGGCUUUAGUCGGAAGUCCAACCUUAUCAGACAUCAGAGGACACACUCAGGAUAGAAACUGUGUGUACAGGGAAUGUGGUACAGCCUUUUGCCAGGAGUCAUACUUCAUCAGACACCAGAGGACACACACAGCGCUGUGGCUUGUUCAGCCAUUGCUAGAUACCAAAGUGGAGACAUUGUGUGUGUGAUUGUGCAUGAGACUGUACU